AGCGCAUGCUACUUCAGUUUUUAGCCCUAAAAUAAAGACACGUUUUAUUAUUGCAGUGUCUACUAAGUACCAACUAUGCAUGAUUGUUUGAAGGAUAAUGGCUUAAUUCCUACAUUGCCUGGUCACAGUGUAGCGGAUGAUACUUUAUUGCCUUUCCAAGUUUCCUUCUAACCUCUGUGGUUGAUUCGGUUCUACUUCAAUUGUGCAUUUUCAUUUAGUUUUGCUUAACAUGCAUUUGUUAUGAAGAGGAAUUAGAGUCGGGUUUAAAGUAAUCUCUCAUGUUGUAUGAAACAGUCUUUAUCCAGAACCUCUAUGCUUGCAUAAAAUCGGAUCGGAUCACUCUGAUGAUUAGAUAAUUGCCUGUUUGAGCCUUGAUGUAUCCAAUAAUUGGGGAUAGAUACCGGUGUAAAGAUUGUGUGGAGAAAAUUGGUUUUGACCUUUGCAGUGAUUGUUAUAAUACCUGUUCCAAGCUUCCGGGUCGAUUUAAUCAGCAACAUACAGCAGAACACCAGUUUGAGCUUAUUAGCAGCAACAUGUUUCGUGGUCGGGGAAGGAUACUGAGUGAGCCGUUAAGUGAAUCUAUUUCUGUUUUUCUGGCUCACAUGUCAGCGAUGUCAGUGAUUUCAGAGGAAAGUGAUAGGAAUGGAAAGCUCUCCCAUGCUACCUCCACCAAUAGUGAAACUGAUGAGGAUAACCAAGAUGACUCUCAAUGAAGUUCUCUCCACGUUGACAUUUGAGGCUUGUGUUUUCUUUGGCUUUGAGAUGCUUCCUUAUGUUGAAAAUAAUCACUUUUCCCAGGAUUAUAUCAUUGCAAAGGUCUGCAUGGAAGUCUAUUAGAUUGUACAGCUUC